AACGAACGCUGGCGGCAUGCCUAACACAUGCAAGUCGAACGAGACCUUCGGGUCUAGUGGCGCACGGGUGCGUAACGCGUGGGAAUCUGCCCUUGGGUUCGGAAUAACAGUGAGAAAUUACUGCUAAUACCGGAUGAUGUCUUCAGACCAAAGAUUUAUCGCCCAGGGAUGAGCCCGCGUAGGAUUAGCUAGUUGGUGGGGUAAUGGCCUACCAAGGCGACGAUCCUUAGCUGGUCUGAGAGGAUGAUCAGCCACACUGGGACUGAGACACGGCCCAGACUCCUACGGGAGGCAGCAGUGGGGAAUAUUGGACAAUGGGCGCAAGCCUGAUCCAGCAAUGCCGCGUGAGUGAUGAAGGCCUUAGGGUUGUAAAGCUCUUUUACCCGGGAUGAUAAUGACAGUACCGGGAGAAUAAGCUCCGGCUAACUCCGUG
rnacentral:rRNA from 1 species